rnacentral:tmRNA from 1 species
GGGGGCGUAACGGCUUCGACGGGAUGGAUCUGACGUAGCAAGGCGUGCCGGGUUCCGAGCUCCCGUAAAACGAUCGGAAACCAUAACUGCCAACACGCAGUUUGCUUACGCUGCCUAGGAUUAGGUAGCCGCCCCGGUUCCCGGGCUCGCACGGGGACCUCCGGGCGUCAUUUCGCGGGCUGGGUUUAGGGCUUCUGUCCGGAGCCCGACGCCGAGAUUCAAUCGGGCUGGACCGCCGCUGACUUUUCCGGUUUGGGUGCGGCGGUCGAGAUCAACGAACCGGAUACGCACGUAGUUCUUGCGCGAAGGGCCAUUUCGGACGCGGGUUCGACUCCCGCCGCCUCCACCA